GACGACGCUGGCGGCGUGCUUAACACAUGCAAGUCGAACGGUGACGAGGAGCUUGCUCCUCUGAUCAGUGGCGAACGGGUGAGUAACACGUGAGCAACCUGCCCCAGACUCUGGGAUAACAGUUGGAAACAGCUGCUAAUACCGGAUACGAGACGGAGAGGCAUCUCUACCGUCUGGAAAGUUUUUCGGUCUGGGAUGGACUCGCGGCCUAUCAGCUAGUUGGUGAGGUAAUGGCUCACCAAGGCGACGACGGGUAGCCGGCCUGAGAGGGCGACCGGCCACACUGGGACUGAGACACGGCCCAGACUCCUACGGGAGGCAGCAGUGGGGAAUAUUGCACAAUGGGCGAAAGCCUGAUGCAGCGACGCCGCGUGAGGGAUGACGGCCUUCGGGUUGUAAACCUCUUUCAGCAGGGAAGAAGCGAAAGUGACGGUACCUGCAGAAGAAGCACCGGCUAACUACGUG
rnacentral:rRNA from 1 species